AAGCUCGUAGUUGAAUUUCGGGAUCAGACUGUCGGUCGUGCCUCGGUACGCACUGGCAUUAUUGGUUCCUACCUUCUGAAGAACCGCGAUGUCAUUAAUUUGGUGUCGUGGGGAAUCAGGACUGUUACUUUGAAAAAAUUAGAGUGUUUAAAGCAGGCUUACGCUUGAAUACAUUAGCAUGGAAUAAUGAAAUAGGACGUUUGAUUCUAUUUUGCUGGUUUCUAGGAUCGACGUAAUGAUUAAUAGGGAUAGUUGGG
rnacentral:rRNA from 1 species